rnacentral:rRNA from 9 species
GCGACCCCAGGAUGGGCGAGGCCACCCGCCGAGUU